AUGAAGCAAAUAUGGCCGCUCAUUACGUCGUCCGCACACUCGCAGCCUCCUCUUCCCUCGCUCUUUUCUCUAAUCAUGGGCGAAACAGACCUCAGCCCCCAGAACAAAGGGCGGUGUUUGUUUUUUUGCUGGCCUUUUAUUUCAGGCGUGUUCCUCCGUCGGUGCGUGUGCUGCUGGCCUUUGAUGUAUAAUGCACCAGCGUUCGCCUCCGUCGCCCCACUUACUGUACUAUCUGGGCCCUCGACAAAAGCGUGCACAGAGGAGGGAAGAAGGGAGGAAUACAAAGGAGACUCUCUCUGAGGAAACACCAAAGAAGAAGAAGAUGAUGAUGAUGAGGAGGAAAAGGAAAUGGUCAAGAGGAGGAAUUCUGGAGCCGUGCCUUCUUCUCUACCUCCAUCUCACCUCGCUGGUAGCCAGUCCUGGUAAUACCAUACAUGCCCUGCAAAGGCUCAUAAUUGCCAAGUGCUAUUAGACGGCCAAACGGGAUUAUAUCUUCAAAAGAAACAUUAGCUGCCUUUAGGAAGGAGUGUGAGGGAUUGGGGCUUGCUGCUCCCCCUAAUCUGGCAGGAGACCCCCACAGUCACACUCCUCCACCUGGCUCCCAUUACCCCUCCGCAAAUCCCUAAUCCCUCCGUUUGUUUUCCCGGAUAGAGACCAAGAAGAAUGGAGGAGAGGGAAGGCGGAGGAGGAAAAGGAAGGCAAGAGUUGGGGUCAUGGGUGAUGGUGAUAAUAGUGAUUUGACAGUUAUUUGCCAGUGCUGAGUUACAGCUGCUUAAUCUUUGUGUUAAUAAAACACAAAUUUUGCUCCCAUUUAUAUUUAGAGGGAUGAAAUGUGUGUGCUUCUCUCUUUCUGUGUGUGUGUGUGUGUGUGUGUGUGUGUGUGUGUGUGUGUGUGUGUGUGUGUGUGUGUGUGUGUGUGUGUCUGUGUGUGUGUGUGUUUGUGAGUGAGUGUGUGCUGCAGGCCUCAACCAGCGGCCUCUUCUCUUUAAUAAAAGUAUUGUUUGUGUUUCUCCUGAUUGGGAACACAUUGGGCCUGGGUCGGGCCCUGCCGGG
rnacentral:lncRNA from 1 species